rnacentral:rRNA from 1 species
GACGAACGCUGGCGGCGUGCCUAAUACAUGCAAGUCGAGCGGUGAAGGUUGGUACUUGUACCGACUGGGUGAGCAGCGAACGGGUGAGUAACGCGUGUGGAAUCUGCCUUUGAGCGGGGGAAAACAUGGGAAAACGAAUGCUAAUACCGCAUAAAAACUUUAAACACAAGGUUUAAGGGUGAAAGAUGCAAUUGCAUCACUCAAAGAUGAUCCCGCGUUGUAUUAGCUAGUUGGUGAGGUAAAGGCUCACCGAGGCGAUGAUACAUAGCCGACCUGAGCGGGUGAGCGGCCACACUGGGAGUGAGACCCGGCCCAAACUCCUACGGGAUGCAGCCGUACGGCAUCGUGGGGCAUCGGUGAAAGUCUGUCCGCGAAGGGCGGAGGGAGUGUAGAAGAUUUUCGGGUCGUAGAUCUCUGUCGGUAGAGAAGAACGCGCGUGCGAGUGGAAAGAACAUCGAGUGACGGUAACGAGUAAGAAAGCAACGGCUAACUACGUG